rnacentral:rRNA from 1 species
AAUGGGCGCAAGCCUGAUCCAGCCAUGCCGCGUGAGUGAAGAAGGCCUUAGGGUUGUAAAGCUCUUUUGCCAGGGACGAUAAUGACGGUACCUGGAGAAUAAGCCCCGGCAAACUUCGUGCCAGCAGCCGCGGUAAUACGAAGGGGGCUAGCGUUGUUCGGAAUUACUGGGCGUAAAGCGCACGUAGGCGGGUUGUUAAGUCAGGGGUGAAAUCCCGGAGCUCAACUCCGGAACUGCCUUUGAUACUGGCAAUCUAGAGACUGGAAGAGGUUAGUGGAAUUCCCAGUGUAGAGGUGAAAUUCGUAGAUAUUGGGAAGAACACCAGUGGCGAAGGCGGCUAACUGGUCCAGUACUGACGCUGAGGUGCGAAAGCGUGGGGAGCAAA